CACCAGUCCGUCUUUAUCAUUCGCACCUUACUCCCGUUGACAGCUUUUCCCAAAGGACCGGCUUCGCUUUUUUUUUUCUUCUGGUGGAAUACUCGUCGCUUGGCACUGAUCCCCACCACGGCUGUUGUUCCAUGAUUUUAUUACACACGGGAGCCGGGGCGUUAUGUUUCUUUGACUGCUUUUAGUGUCUUCGUCUUUUGGUGCGCGGAAAGUCUUGCAUAUUUUUCUUGUCCCGCACGGCUCCGCUCAGCAAAGCCCGCUGAGGGAUCGCGCUCGGAGGGCUGGAGUGGGCCACCCUACUAUCCUGCCACAUCUUCAAGGGUUAAAUUCACGAUUGUUGGUGAAACUUUACGCAGCUCGGAUCAAGCUUACCGCUGGAUCUCGACAUCACCAAACACACCUUUUGGAAAAGACAAACGACCACUGACUGAUCACUUCUAACAUAAGCCCCUGAGGAAGGAUUUUCAGCAUUCCACCUGCUCCUCCAAUUUCCUCACCACAGACCUGGAGACAGGCACACACACACACACACACACACACACACACACACACACACACACACACACACACACACACACACACACACACACACACACACACACACACACACACACACACACACACACACACACACACACACACACACACACACACACAGUAACCCAACAUUACUGCCUUUCUUCCCAAAUCGUUGUGUACCUAAGGGCUACAGAUAUGUGUAUCAAACAUAACAUUCCAUAUCAUCUGUGUAAGAAAGCAUCAGACUCAACUUAAAACGGUCACAAACAGUCCUGCCCCGGCCAACUGCAUACGGUACUCUGGCGAACUUGUGGCUUAUUGUCGAAGACUGGGGUUUGGGGGAGUCUGCUACUGAAAAGUAAAACUAUCCCUACUAGUAAACGCGAAAAGACGGAAGGUUUACUACCCUAUGUUUGUUGUGAGUUCACAUGAUCUCCAUGCUAGUGACAGAGCAGUGUAUCACCGUCACCACAGCUGCUGUGUGGCUGGUUGUUCGACUACACACUGUGACAGAGACUGACGGUUUAACCCCAUGUGUAUUACCAGUGGCACGUAAUUCAUCCAUUCACACUCAACACAGCGAUGACCUUGUGAAGCGGAGGAGACGGGAUACAGUGGGCUGUGUGUUCGACUGGUGGUUAAAAAGGGGCGAUCCCCGCUCAGAGAGGGACACUUUCUUGUUUCUGAACUGGUGGUUGAGAGGAGCAGGUGUGCGUUUCAGCUUUGAUGAUGUUGUGUUGUUUUAAACAGGGCUUGAUUUCAAUCUAUUCUGUGGUAUGAAACAGUAAGCGAUUUAAACUUGAAGGAAGCCUUCAGAGAUCACUUGGUUUAUCAGGUAGGUUUCCCACACUAAAUUCCAACGGCACACAGUUUUUUCUUGCUGAUCGAGAUAACAAUUUUUUAUCUAAAUCAGCAGCAAUUGGACUUUCACUUCUGUAUAGUGAUCAGCAUGAUUGUUUUUGUGUGGGGGUGCAUGUCUGUCUGUAUGUAUGUGCGUGUGGGCUUUAUCAAAUCAUGGAUGUGGGCGAAUGGUGGGUUCUGUGUGGGAGUGCGGCUGCAUGUUGAUGCCAUGUGUGUCUUUAAAUUCCCGGCUUAACUAGACGCCGGACUAGCCAGUGACCCCUCACCCCUACUCCAGCUCGCUGUCUCUCCCAAUCUAGAGGCGGACAACAAAGAACGGCUUUUGUCACGCUAUCCUCGCACAUUCUUUCUUUUCACCCUGGUUGGUUACGAAGACGAUGGUUUGAAGGGCAAAAAACAACAAAAAAAACACAACAAGAGAAAACGGUAGCGCACAAGCCACUUCUUCUGUGAUAUUAAUGAGCUUAUUAAUUAGCCAGCCCAACUAGCUAGUUCAACAUUAUCAGACAUAUAAAUAAUAAUAAUAAUAAUUAAUUGAAUUUAUUUAGCGCUUUUCUAGACGCUCAAAGACGCCUACAGUGAAGGGGGGGGG
ensembl:lncRNA